AUCACUUCUCAGCCUUCUGUUAAGAUCAAAUGUAGUAUCUGUUCUUAUCAGUUUAAUAUCUGAUAACGUCCUCUAGCUGAGGACAAUAUAUUAAAUGGAUUUUUGGAACAUCCUCACAUCGACCUGGUAUUGCAGUACUUCCAGGAAUGGUGCAAAAAAA
rnacentral:snRNA from 1 species